rfam:Betaproteobacteria bacterium RIFCSPLOWO2_12_61_14 rifcsplowo2_12_sub10_scaffold_46456, whole genome shotgun sequence.
GAAGCUGGCUAGACAGUCGCCGCGUCCGCAAGGGCGGGGAGGAAAGUCCGGGCUCCACAGAGCAGGAUGCCGGUUAAUGGCCGGACGCCGUGAGGCGAUGGAAAGUGCCACAGAAAAUACACCGCCGAUGGCCGCGCGAGCGGAUCAGGUAAGGUUGAAAUGGCGAGGCAAGAGCUCACCGCGCUGGUGGCAACAUUAGCGGCAGGGUAAACCCCAUCCGGAGCAAGACCAAAUAGGCAGGCCAUGACGUUGCUCGCGUCGCCUGCGGGUAGGUUGCUUGAGCGUCAGGUAACGAAACGCCUAGAGGAAUGACUGUCCACGACAGAACCCGGCUUACCGGCCAGCUUCACCU